rnacentral:rRNA from 3 species
UACAGAGGGGGCAAGCGUUGUUCGGAAUUACUGGGCGUAAAGGGCGCGUAGGCGGCCCGCUAAGUCGAACGUGAAAUCCCCAGGCUCAACCUGGGAACUGCGUCCGAUACUGGCAGGCUUGAAUCCGGGAGAGGGAUGUGGAAUUCCAGGUGUAGCGGUGAAAUGCGUAGAUAUCUGGAGGAACACCGGUGGCGAAGGCGGCAUCCUGGACCGGUAUUGACGCUGAGGCGCGAAAGCUAGGGGAGCAAACGGG